CCUAAUAAAGGAGUUUACACACCGAAAUGCGUCAUCCUCCACGCGGCGUUGCUGCAUCAGAGUUUCCUCCAUUGUGCAAUAUUCCUCACUGCUGCCUCCCGUAGG
rnacentral:rRNA from 1 species